AUGAAAUCCUUGAGUGUUUCCCUAGUGGUCCUGGCUCCAGCUAAAUGGGGUGAGCAGCCAGCAGAAGGUGCAGCAGAGCCCAGAAUCUCUCACUGUUCCAGAGGGAGCCAGGACCUCUCUCAACUGCACUUUCAGCAACAGUGCUUCUCAGUAUUUCGCAUGGUACAGACAAGAUCCUGGGAAAGAACCCAAGGAGCUACUGUCCAUCUUCUCCACUGGUGAAAAGGAAGAAGGCAGAUUCACAAUUCAGCUCAAUACAGCCAGCCUACAUGUUUUCCUGCACAUCAGAGACUCCCAGCCCAGUGACUCUGCUCUCUACUUCUGUGCAGUGAGCACACAGUGCUCCCCAGGCACCUGCAGCCUGCAUGCAAACCUACUGUGCAGCAUCAAGCCCUGA